rnacentral:rRNA from 1 species
AUUGAACGCUGGCGGCGUGCUUAACACAUGCAAGUCGAACGCGAAAGGGGCUUCGGCCCUGGGUAAAGUGUUGCACGGGUGAGAAAGGCGGGGAUAAUCUGCCUUUAUGAUCGGGAUAACAGUUGGAAACGGCGGCUAAUACCGGAUAGGCUCAAGAUGAACUUUUUGAGGAACGAUGGCCUCUGCUUGCAUGCUAUCGCGUAAGGCUGAGUCCGCGUCCCAUUAGCUUGUUGGCGGGGUAACGGCCCACCAAGGCAACGAUGGUUAGCCGAUUUGAGAGGAUGAUCGGCCACACUGGAACUGAAACACGGUCCAGACUCCUACGGGAGGCAGCAGUGGGGAAUAUUGCGCAAUGGGCGAAAGCCUGACGCAGCGACGCCGCGUGAGAGAUGAAGGUUUUCGGAUCGUAAACCUCUGUCAGAAGGGAAGAAACUACAUUGUGCUAAUCAGCAGUGUACUGACGGUACCUUCAAAGGAAGCACCGGCUAACUCCGUG